rnacentral:rRNA from 1 species
AGUCACUGACAUUAGAUACCCCUGUAGUCCAGGGUGUAAACGCUGCAGACUUGGUGUUGGAGGCCUUUGGGGCAUUCAGUGCCGGAGAGAAGUUGUUAAGUCUGCUACUUGGGAGUACGUCCGCAAGGAUGAAACUUAAAGGAAUUGGCGGGGGAGCACCGUCAACGGGAGGAGCGUGCGGUUUAAUUGGAUUCAACACCGUAAAACUCACCAGGGAAGACUGUUACAUGAAGGCCGAGAUGAAGACUCUGCUAGAUUUUUCAG